CCUGGCAGAAUAAGUCUAUUCUAGAAACAUGGGACGUCGAAUCUUGCUUGUCUUCGUGGUGGUGGCAACCAUUUUGCUGUCAAUGGGAGUGGAGGCAGCCCGACCUGAUCAUGCCAAGUUUAUCCACAUAUUGAAGUCACUUGGUCGUUAGACAACCACGACAUUCACACCCAAAGUCGCUCCCUAAAUCGACUUGGCCGAUGUGACAACAGAA